GAUGAACGCUGGCGGCGUGCCUAAUACAUGCAAGUCGAGCGAACAGAUGAGGAUCUUGCUCCUCUGACGUUAGCGGCGGGCGGGUGAAUAACACGUGUAUAACCUACCUAUAAGUCUGGGAUCACUUCGGGACACCGGAUCUAAUACCGGAUAAGAUAUUGCACCGCAUGGUUCAAUAGUGAAAGACGGCUUUGGUGUCACUUAUAGCUGGUUCCGCGCUGGAUUAGCUAGUUGGUAGGGUAACGGCCUACCAAGGCGACGAUGCGUAGCCGACCUGAGAGAGUGAUCGGCCACACUGGAACGGAGACACGGUCCAGACUCCUACGGGAGGGAGCAGUAGGGAAUCUUAGGCAAUGGGCGAAAGCCUGACGGAGCAACGCCGCGUGAGUGAUGAAGGUCUUCGGAUCGUAAAGCUCUGUUAUUAGGGAAGAACAAAUGUGUAAGUAAAUAUGGCCGUCUUGACGGUACCUAGUCAAGAAGCAACGGCUAACUACGUG
rnacentral:rRNA from 1 species